rnacentral:lncRNA from 1 species
UUGUUUAAAAUGUGAACCAACUGGUCGGGGACAGUAAUCUAAUUCUGCAUUUGGUUUGAGGCCAAUGCAUUGAGGGCAUUCAAUAAAUAAUGGUGUUUGGUGAGCCUUUCCUAGAUCCUGGCUGCUUAUGUCCAAGAUGAAGCUAGGACCUUCAGAAGCAAGCUCAAGAGAUGAUGAAUGAAGGAAGGUGGAGCUCCGAAGACCAUGAAGACAACAGCUCUUCGGUGUUAAAGCCACAAGACCAAGAGCAGACACAGCAUCCAGAAGAAAACCUCUAUUGGCAAGCACAAGACAGUGAUCACAGAUGUGGCCCCAGACGACGGAAGGACAGGAGUGCAGCACGCUGAAAUGUCGGAAUACUACACGCCUGCAAUUGCCUUUCCCUCUGGCAUUUAAUGAGAAAUAAAAAGCACAUGUGAAGGUU